rnacentral:rRNA from 1 species
UCCUACGGGGCGCAGCAGUGGGGAAUAUUGCACAAUGGGGGAAACCCUGAUGCAGCAACGCCGCGUGAGUGAAGAAGUAUUUCGGUAUAUAAAGCUCUAUCAGCAGGGAAGAAGAUGGCGGUACCUGAUUAAGAAGCCCCGGCUAACUACGUGCCAGCAGCCGCGGGAAUACGUAGGGGGCAAGCGUUAUCCGGAUUUACUGGGUGUAAAGGGAGCGUAGACGGCAUAGCAAGUCUGAAGUGAAAGCCCAAGGCUCAACCAUGGGACUGCUUUGGAAACUGUUAAGCUAGAGUGCUGGAGAGGUA